UCCCUGGUGGUCCAGUGGUUAGGACUCGGCGCUGUCACUGCCAAGGGCCCGGGGUUCGAUCCCUGGUCGGGGAA